GAGUUUGAUCCUGGCUCAGGACGAACGCUGGCGGCGUGCUUAACACAUGCAAGUCGAGCGGUAAGGCCCUUCGGGGUACACGAGCGGCGAACGGGUGAGUAACACGUGAGCAACCUGCCCCUGACUCCGGGAUAAGCGGUGGAAACGCCGUCUAAUACCGGAUACGACCUUUCAGCUCAUGCUGGAAGGUGGAAAGUUUUAUCGGUCAGGGAUGGGCUCGCGGCCUAUCAGCUUGUUGGUGGGGUAAAGGCCUACCAAGGCGAUUACGGGUAGCCGGCCUGAGAGGGCGACCGGCCACACUGGGACUGAGACACGGCCCAGACUCCUGCGGGAGGCAGCAGUGGGGAAUAUUGCACAAUGGGCGAAAGCCUGAUGCAGCGACGCCGCGUGGGGGAUGACGGCCUUCGGGUUGUAAACCUCUUUUACCACCAACGCAGGCUCCACGUUCUCGUGGGGUUGACGGUAGGUGGGGAAUAAGGACCGGCUAACUACGUGCCAGCAGCCGCGGUAAUACGUAGGGUCCGAGCGUUGUCCGGAAUUAUUGGGCGUAAAGAGCUCGUAGGCGGCGUGUCACGUCUGCUGUGAAAGACCGGGGCUUAACUCCGGUUCUGCAGUGGAUACGGGCAUGCUAGAGGUAGGUAGGGGAGACUGGAAUUCCUGGUGUAGCGGUGAAAUGCGCAGAUAUCAGGAGGAACACCGGUGGCGAAGGCGGGUCUCUGGGCCUUACCUGACGCUGAGGAGCGAAAGCAUGGGGAGCGAACAGGAUUAGAUACCCUGGUAGUCCAUGCCGUAAACGUUGGGCGCUAGGUGUGGGGACUUUCCACGGUUUCCGCGCCGUAGCUAACGCAUUAAGCGCCCCGCCUGGGGAGUACGGCCGCAAGGCUAAAACUCAAAGGAAUUGACGGGGGCCCGCACAAGCGGCGGAGCAUGUUGCUUAAUUCGACGCAACGCGAAGAACCUUACCAAGGUUUGACAUCACCCGUGGACCUGUAGAGAUACAGGGUCAUUUAGUUGGUGGGUGACAGGUGGUGCAUGGCUGUCGUCAGCUCGUGUCGUGAGAUGUUGGGUUAAGUCCCGCAACGAGCGCAACCCUUGUUCUAUGUUGCCAGCACGUAAANGGUGGGGACUCAUAGGAGACUGCCGGGGUCAACUCGGAGGAAGGUGGGGACGACGUCAAGUCAUCAUGCCCCUUAUGUCUUGGGCUGCAAACAUGCUACAAUGGCCGGUACAAUGGGCGUGCGAUACCGUAAGGUGGAGCGAAUCCCUUAAAGCCGGUCUCAGUUCGGAUUGGGGUCUGCAACUCGACCCCAUGAAGGUGGAGUCGCUAGUAAUCGCGGAUCAGCAACGCCGCGGUGAAUACGUUCCCGGGCCUUGUACACACCGCCCGUCACGUCAUGAAAGUCGGCAACACCCGAAACUUGUGGCCUAACCCUUCGGGGAGGGAAUGAGUGAAGGUGGGGCUGGCGAUUGGGACGAAGUCGUAACAAG
rnacentral:rRNA from 1 species